GCCCAGCCGGGCUAGCUCAAUCGGUAGAGCGUAAGACUCUUAAUCUUAAGGCUGCGGGUUCGACCCCGCGUUCGGCUA
rnacentral:tRNA from 1 species